rnacentral:rRNA from 1 species
AGGUGGUUAUUGCGCCGGGGUUACACCUCUUCCCUUUCCGAACAGAGCAGUGAAGACCGGUUGCGCCGAUGGUACUAUACACAAUAUGGGAGAGUAGGUAACCGCCA